AAUGUUAGUGAAAAUCUUUCAACGGACAGACCCGUUUUGCAGUUCAAGCUGCGUUCAUUAGGAUUGGAAUUGUGUAACACGAGGCUUUAUUUCUUUUGCUCGUAUCUUGAUCAAAUUUCACGUUGGGUUGAUAUAUAACUUUGAUGCAGGUCUGGAGAGCAUCUGUAGGGGAACUUCUUGGCUCAGCCGUUUUGGUCUUCAUGAUUGACACCAUAGUCAUAUCAACCAUCGAGACAGAUGUGAAAAUGCCAAACCUGAUUUUAUCAAUUCUCGUGGCCAUUAUCAUUGCGAUUCUUCUACUAGCCGUGCAUCCAGUUUCUGGAGGCCACAUAAACCCCAUCAUCUCAUUCUCCGCGGCAUUAGUCGGGCUUAUAUCAAUGUCGCGCGCCAUAAUCUAUAUCAUCGCUCAAUGUGCGGGCGGCGUGCUAGGGGCACUAGCACUUAAAGCGGUGGUUAGCAGUAACAUCGAAAGAACCUUCUCACUGGGAGGUUGCACCCUCACCGUAAUAGCACCGGGUCCCCAAGGGCCAGUGACAAUAGGCCUGGAGACUGCCCAGGCGUUUUGGCUGGAGGUCUUUUGUAGCUUCGUGUUCUUGUUCGCUUCAGUCUGGAUGGCAUACGACCAUCGUCAGAGAAACUCCAUUGGCCUGAUUCCUGUUUUCUCAAUCAUCGGAAUCGUGCUGGGUCUUCUGGUGUUUGUAUCGACGACAGUCACUGCUACUAAGGGUUAUGCGGGCGCAGGGAUGAACCCUGCUAGGUGUUUCGGCGCAGCAGUUGUUAGAGGAGGCCACCUGUGGGAGGAGCACUGGAUAUUCUGGGCAGGGCCUGCUGUAGCUUGUUUUGCAUUCUACGUUUACACGCGGAUCAUUCCUAAUAAUCAUUUUCAUGCAGAAGGGUUCAAGCAUGAUUUCUUUGGCAUCCUAAGGACUAUUAGCAGGCUGGAACGUUAAACAUGGUAGAAAUUUACCAGGAUGGAGUUGUUGCCUUAGCCUAUAGCUAAAAAGGGGAAGACGAUGUAUGAUACUUUCCUAUAUAUACGUGAUUGUGAUCGGUGAUCAUAUUCGUACUAACAAGCUAGACUUUCUGUAUUUCGAUGGAGAAUGUCUUCUAUGAUAGUAAACCCUUGUAUGGUAUUUACUUCCAAUCGUGUCAAGUGUAAACGGAUGUUGUUCCCAAGGGAACAGAUUAUGAAUGUCAAACUUCCUAUCCCGUCGGGUGUAAACUGAUGCUGUUCCCAAGAGAACAGAUUAUGAAUGUCAACUAUUGAGGUGUGGAUGUAAAUGUUGCCAUGCCUGCCGAAAUUGUUGAGCAUUAAGUUCAAAAUUUUUAAUACGCGACCGCUGGCGCCUCAAUAAUUAGUUGCAUGUCUGAUGUCUAAAUUUCAUCUUCUUGUUAACGAUCGCCCUUGCAUUUUGCCUUCACCUUUUUCGUCUUUCGGGUUGAGAUUUGAGAAGAAAGAAAUCAGGAAGGUUCCAAGGCCCACCACAAGACUAGAAUACAAUAUCACAGAUCGUCUGCAUGCAAAUGAGAAAUUGAGAAUAGGCCGUCUGAAUAAUCGGGCCGACUCAGUCAUCAACACUUCCAAGUGGCCUUUUUGAUGUGCAAGUCAAUUUGGGAGUUUAUAUAUAUUCAACAAUCGCAUUUAUGAGUUUACCAAUUAGGAAAAUCAGAAAUACAACAAUUAUAAGUUUAUCGUAUUUGGGAAUUGAGAAUUUCAACUUGCAUGAGUUUAUCCUUUCGAAAAAUUUCGAAAUUUAACGCGUACUGAUUCUCGUUAAAUGUUACGAAACCCAACACAUUUAACAACCGGGACAUUAACCAAAUAGCUUUAAGAUCCCUGAUUUAACAAACCCAAUACAUUUAAUGUAUAUAUAUGCUAAAAAGGUGAUUGAAAAAUAUAUUUACGAAAAAUAUAAAAAAAAAUUUUGGAUAAAAAUUACAUUCCAAAUAAGGUCCAGCGCUGCGGUUGGCGUCUGCUCUAGCUCACCAUCCAUCACCAUAAUUGCAGGGGGCCAUUCGGGUUGAAAGUUGAAACACUUUUGAGGUCCUUUAUAUCGUUAACUCCUUGUCGAUAUUGCUUCGUGUUUAAGCUGCGUCUUACCCUCUUCUAUGGGAAUCCCAAAAGUGUCAAGUCAUUAAUUGAUUGCUUAAUCAUCAAUUAUUCAGCUGUGCUAUGCGUCCUUGUAUUUGUAUCAACCACAGUCCGCCCACAAUCACAAUCGAAAGGCGCAACGGAUCUCGUCGUAUAUUACUCAGUUAAUAAUUAUUAAAUUUUUAAAAAAAUAAAAAAUUAAAUUAUGAUAUUUAUAAAGGAGAAAUAACUUAUUAAGGCUUGGCAUAAUUGGUAAAUAAUUAGGGGUGAGUCCCCACCCACUGACGGAAAUGUACAUUUUAGGUCAAUCAUUUUUUGAUCAUUACUCUUGUGUAUUAGCGUACCUUGGAAGACGAUUGCAGAUCCGUCUCGCCCUUCUUAUCAUUUAUUUUUUAAAAGCUAAUUAUAUUAAUUUAUUUUUGUAUUUCACAUGUUCAUCUUAAAUUCAUCAUUGAUUGUUCUCAAAAGAAUUCUCAUGCCCUGAAACAAACAUCCAAAGGAAUAAAAGAAAAAGGGAAAAAAAAUAAAAGAUUCCAAAAUCAAUAAAAACUAUAAUAAGCAUAAUCCCUUUCAUUUAUUAUACAUCUAUUAAACUCUUUUCUCAAAAAAAAAAAAAAAAGAAGAUGAUGAUGAUCUCUACAAAUGAAUAUUAUAAACAAAUUAUAAUCUUUCGUAUUUGGAUUGUAAUUUGCUCAAUAAAGUUAAUUAGUUAACUCAUAAAAUAAUAUUUUUUGUACAUAUAUAAAAAUAUAUAUAUAUAUAUAUAUAUGCAAGGCUCGACCCUUUUUUGAUCCGAUCAAAAGAUUAUCUAAUCUUUAGAAAUGGAUUGGUACGGAUUCCACCAUCAAUGGGUUAACAGAUUUUUGGCCCUAACCUAAUCGGCAUACCCUAACCUAAUCGGUAAAAUUGGUUUAAUAACACGAUACGAGCCCAUUCAACCGUUCUAAAGUUCAAAGUCUUUCAACACACACACACGCACGCACAAGGCCUGCGCACACAAAACAAGAAUAAAUAGCAUGACAAUGACCCAACCAAAAAAAGAAAAGGAAAGGAAAAGAGGAAUGAAAUGAAAUGCUCUUCAAAUUUUCUAAAUUCUUUCUUAUUGGAUAAUAAGCCAGUACUCGAAUAUUUCUUCUCAUGACGAUCGAAUAUUUCAAUUCUGGUCAUAGGGUCGGACUAGAACAUCAAAUCUCUGAAGAGAAAGAUUGUCAUAUUGUAGUUGGCCUGGAAACAAGAACAACUUGUUUUGGCAUUGUAAAUUUGCACCUCAUCCAGAUUCUGUAUAGAGAACGAAAUCAUCUACGUAGCUUAAAAUUCAUCUGUGUUCAAUUUUAGUCGUUAAAAGUUACAAGGACUAUUAUUCCUGCUUUCUUCAUAAUUCAACAGGUCAUAUUUGUCAACAGCAUUAUGAAGAAGGAGCUUCCAAAAGCGUGGAGGAGGACGCAAGCGGCACAUGCAGGGCAGAGUUUGUGGUCCUUUUGUGGAAACAGAUAUUGGAUUGCCUUCCAGUUGCAGCAUGGUACUCCCAAGUAUUUCAGUCAGAAGCUUCUUAAACUCAUCUUCUUUAACCAACUUCCUGUCAUCCGCAUCUAACUUCUUGAAAGCUUCAUUUAUGAUUUUGUCGAUCUGCAGAGAUUAGCUAAAGCGUUUGGUAAGAUGAGCUUAAGACCGGAGAACCUCUAAUCAGCCUGAAAAGUACCCAGUUCGAGGUGAAACUGCACCAGGCUUGAGGACUGUUCCUUUUACACAUUAAGCCAAAUGCAGAUUCUAUAAAUAGGUCAGAAAGCUAAUCGAUUAACUUGUACAUAGCUAUUUCUUCAAUUAUCCCUUACUAUGAUUUCCCAAUUGGAACGGCAAGUCUCAUCUCAUAAUAAGUAGUAAAAAUGAGCUAACCUCGAAAGACUGAUUACCUGAUCAACAGCACCCAGUGGGCCUAAGCCAGAUGAUGGGACCAGAACAUCCAGAGCAACACGCAGAUUUGUUUUGACAAUUUUCCACUGCGAUCUCUUGGAAUCAAGGCUUGCCAUAUCGGCUGCAACAACUUGGCCGAGUCAUGACCGGAACGGGGCUAACAAUAUGAUACCGUUACCCGCAUCGCCUCUGAAACUAAGUCGGAUACAUAUCGCGGAGAACUCUGCGAUAUGCAAUAAUAUGAUACAGAAUCGUCGAAUAGUGGCGAGAACUUGGCGAUAUCUACUGUUAUGAAUCGGAAACAAGAGAAAGGAAAAUUUCAAGACACAAACCUAUAGCUAAAUACUAAAGCUUUCCCACCCCUGUGACAUGAAACAAAACAAAAUGAAAUGUCACGCAAAAGGACGUUCAUAGAGCUUCUGGAAAGUUUUUAUUCCUGCAACUUCAGCCGAUGAAUGCAUCACAUUUCACGUACAUAUCAAUCAAGGAAGUCCCGAAAUGUAUAUGAAAAUCUAAACCAGUUCCGGUGCUCAUCCGAUGAACGCACUUUCCCAGCCAAAACAUGAUAACUCUGCAUGCACAAGACUAAUAAAAGAAAACAAACAGUAUCCAAAGCAAAUUUGAUAGGUAUGUAAAAAGAAUAAAAAUAUGUUCUUACUAUAUUUGAUAGAAUUCAAAAGUUAUACAUAAUUCAUGAAUUUUAAUAUUUUCGUGACAUUUAUUAUUGUUGUUUUUUUAUUUUAGAAAAUUGAGAUCAAUCACCUAGGCAUUUCUGUUGAUCAAUGUAGGUGAAAAUGCUUAUUGAGAAUAUGGUGAAAAUGCUUGCUUCUUUAUGUCUUUAUAUUUUAUAACCUUAUUUGAUAGGUAUUUGUUUCUUUUGCUCUAUUGAAGUAAACACUGCUACUUUCUUUAUGUAUUGGGAUUCUCAUUGUGUUAUUUAAGAUAUGAUGGUUUUACUCUUAUAUUUAAUUUUUGAUGUCAUACAAAAUAGGAUUAGAAGACACACUUGAUGCUAAAAUCUUUUACUACUAAUGCUAUAGGUUUAUGGUAAUGGCAGCAUUACUUUAUUUAAAUAAUUAGUAACUAUAUAUGAUAAUGUAGAUAUUUAGUAAACUUAAUUUGAUAAUUGUGUUUGUUAUCCUAUUUUUUAUUUUUAGUAAUUUUUUUUAGAAUUUUUAAUGCUGCGACGAAUGUGAAACAAUCACGACCGCGAGGUGAUCAUGAUGGGCGACAGGGAACCAUGCUUGGAAUAGUUUGUAAGGAAGUAUCCAGAGCCUGUUGAGGAACAAAUUGGUGCACCUCAAUGUCCAAGCACAAUGUAUGAAAUCAUUUCAACACAUUCAAAAGACUUGCCAUAUAAUUUAUUUCUUCUUAGAUAAGUUGGACAAACUUGAGACGAAGAUGAUAAAGAUACCAAUAUUUGCACGGGCCCAUAGCUAAAUUAGAAUCCACUAGAAAAGAGUUAUCACUAAUAACGUGCACAGAAGACAGAAUAAGUUGGAUGCCACUGUUCUUAAUUUACCACCAGCAGAAAUUAUUGGUGUGUUUGGACAGGAAAUUAUUUGCCCAAAUAUAUUUAUUUACAUUAUUAUUACAAUUUUCAUUACACCUUUUUAUCUCACAUACAUCACAUCACAAAAAGUGCUGCAGUAAAAAUAUCUCAAUAUUAGUAUUAAUGUUACUUUACCAACCGUAUCCAGCUCAAAUUUGUUGGAUAGCAAUCUUCUUAUUCCGCUCCCAUCAAAUGUAUUCUCAGUAUGUGCAACAAUUACGGGCUGCUCUUUCAGAAGUUUUGCAACAGUCCCUGCGACAUUCUUGAACUCACCAAGAAUGUAGUCAAAUGAGACAGAAAACACCUAGAUGAGCCGCUAUAUCACCGAGGUACCGGAUUUUCUAUAAAUGCUGUCUAGAUAAGUCCAUCACUUGAUCUCAUGCUUUACGAAACUCUAAUUUUUCUACUGGGUACUCGACGGGCACUCGUUAGAAAGAUCCAUCGUUUAAAAUGAAAAAUAGCCCCUCUGUGACGAGUACCCGUUACAAACAGGCAAAGUAAAUUCCAUACUAUCAACGUAGAUUCCCUCUGUGACGAGACUUUCCACGAAGCAGCAGAAGACUAAAGUAUGGAGGAUGUCACCAGCAGAAGACUUUACAUAAUUCUAGUAUUAGAGUACGCUAUAUUCUUGGUGCUGUUACUUGUACCAGGUGAGAAGAAUUAGUCACUAGUUGAAACUGUCUCUUCUUUAAAUAUCGUUUGAAUUUUUAAGCUGUACACAGGAAGUAUGUAUGACAAGACUUUUUCACUCAAGCGUAUCUUGAAUCUUGGUUUUUUGUUUCACGGCUUCUGAAAUAUCCUAUAAUGAAAAGGAAUCCCCCUAAGAAUAUUUCUCGGAAUCAAAAGAUUAGAAGAAAAAAAUUGUAGAACGCUGGCAAACGAAUUUAGAAUCAGACAAGUUCGUUCUUUUCUGUCAAGAUUGGUAAUUACGUAGUUGCAUGAAUAAGCCAAAACCAUAUGCUGCCUCUAGCCAUUUCGCCUGUUCCCGAACUGGGAUCAAUCAGUUUUUGAGGUCGCUAAUUAAUCCUGAUUUUUACUUAGAAGUCAAAAAAAAUUACACGAGUUAAAUAAUGAAGUUUACGUGAAGGGUGAAAUGCAUCGAAAAAGAUUAGCAUUUUAAUAAUCGAAGGUAAGGUUGCAAAUGUAAGCCAGUCUUUUGAAAUUAAUCAAUUAUGACUCACUUACAGUCUCUCGUGAAUCAUGAUGAGUAAGAAAAAUCGUCGAAGAACCACAAUUUGAUUUCUAUAUCAUUGAGUUCAUAGCCAGGAAAUUCGUAAUUCAUCAAUUGCGCAGUUAUAUUCCCUCCUCCAGGAGAAUACGAAAAGAAAAAGAAGAAAAAUAUUUGUUCCCCUGCUAAUUUUUUAUACAACGGGGUAUCUUUCAGGCUUAAAAAAAAGGGUUAAUUACAUUCACCUCCCCUGAGGUUUGACCAUAUUACCAAUCAAUCCCUGUAAUCUGUCCAAAUAACAGUCUCACCCUUUGAAUGAUCAAACAUUUAACAAAAACCCCCUUAAUGCCGAAAAUGCCCUUUUUGAAGCCAUAUUGCAUUAAAAAAAGAACAUAUUUUUAUUUAUUAACCUUCAAGUAAUCCAAAAAAAUAGAAAAAAAUUUUUGCUUAUUAUUUUAUAAAAAUCAUAUCUUUACUUCCAUAAAUAGUUUUGAAUCAAUAAUUAUUUUAAAUCUUAAAAAUUAGAUAAAUUGAAAGAAAAAUAAAAAAGAAACAAUUAUUUUAAAUUCUCAAGUAUGGUUCGAAUUUGUGAUUCAAGGCAUGUUGCGGAGAGCACAAGACAUGUUUUCCUCAAUUUGAACCAUAUUUCAGGAAUUAAAAUAAUUUCUUCUUUUUUUAUUGUUCUUUCAAUUUAUCUAAUUUUUAAUAUUUAUUUUUAAGAUUUAAAAUAAUUAUUGAUUCAAAACUAUUUAUGGAAGCAAAGAUAUGGUUUUUAUAAAAUAAUAAGCAAAAACUUUUUCUAUUUUUUUGGAUUGCUUCAAGGUUAAUAAAAUAAAAAUAUGUUCUUGUUUUAAUGCAACAUGGUCUCAAUAAGGGCAUUUUCGGCAUUAAGGGAAUUUUUGUUAAAUGUUUGAUCAUUCAAAGGGUGAGACCGUUAUUUGGACAAAUUAUAGGGAUUGAUUGGUAAUAUGGUCAAACCUCAGGGGAAGUAAAUGUAAUUAACCCUUAAUUUUGUCAUGUUAGAGACAGCACUUGAUGUAAUUAAUAAUCUGCAACUCCAUUGACAUGAAAAUACAACGAAACUGAAAUUGAGGAAAAUCCCAAGACGUUGGUUAGGUACUUAGUUUUAAUUUUCUUACACUUUCCCCAUCUCAUUCGGGAUAAUUAAAGCCUGAAACACAUAUUUUGACUCACUCUUUCUUCGUAUUAUUAAAAUUUCAUAUUCACUUCUUCUUCCUCCUCGUCCUCUGCCUCUUCCUCUUCUUCUUCUUCUUUCUCUUCUCCUUCUCCUCUCUAUCUCUCUCUUUUUCUACUCCCUUCCCAAAACAGCAGCAUGUGUUAUAUAACUUGAACCAAAUAUACACUCAGUUGACAACUGCCACAAUUUCAUUCUGUACCUUCGAUUCAAGUCACAAAAGGAGAGUAUUCUUGACCUAAUGGCGUUAUGCAUGUUAGUGAUAAAUCUUGCCAAGUUACCCUAACAUCAUCCCCCUCUCUUCUAAUAAAAAGGUGAGGUCCUUGUAUCCUCAUGCGAAAUGUCCAAUAGUUAACAUUUCUUGACCGUGUAAUUAAACGUACUCUUCAUAUGCGUGGUUAAAUCGAACUGAUUUAUACUGGCGAAGUAAAAGUAGUGACAUCCUGCAUUAGCAAUAUUUACAAUAAAACUGUCACUAAUGUUUGAGACCUCAAUCGUCACGCACCUCUCCCCUAGGAAAAACUAGCAAGCACAAAGUACCAAAGAAGAAUAGAAGAUAGAAGAAAAGGCAAAAACUAUUAGCAUUCUACCAUUGCAUAUCAUCACAAGCUAUUUAAUUCUGACGAUCUGGGUCCACUUUUUCAGAUUAAUCAUCCCCAUUCAUACUUAUUUGCAGUUGGGAAGGAGACGGAUCUACAACAACAUAUUAAUUACAUAUCCUCUACUCAUCGCUACAGUUGUGGUCUGUCGAGUUGACACUUUUUUCACUUUUAUUAAGGAGUAGCUUUUAACUCAUUACUUAUUCUUUUUCAAUUGAGUUCUUAUUAACGAUAAAACUGAGUGAUAUUGGAGAUAAACACUAGCAUACCAAUACAUUUUUCUUUGAAAAAAGAAUGAAUCAAGUUAGUAAAUGCAACCAAGCUUGAGUACUAUUUCGCAGUGAUUGGCAAAAGAUUAACACUCAACUUCAAAUCUGUCCUAAUACUAUCUUUUUAAUUCUAGAUUUGGUCUCACGCUCCUUCUUUUCAGGUAUAUACACUCAUCCCUUGCCUCAGCCACCAAAAAGUAGGACCGAAUUUAUUGGAGGAGAAGGGCCACUGAAUCUGUGAUUUUAAACUCAGACCGGACUGGCCAGUCGAACUGGGAACCUGCCAAGUGUCCAGUUCAAGUUACUCUAAAAAAUUGGGUGUAUAAAAACUCGGUCAAACCUGGCAAAAAAUCAGGUUUGACCAGAAAAUUGGAUGAACCGAUUUGAUGUCAAGCUUUUUUUUUUUAAAAGCUCAAAGCAUUUCAAUAUUAUGUUUUGCCUCCUAGGUUGUUAAAAAUUAUUAGUAUAUCUCAAAUAUUUCAUACUUUAUAAAUGUUGUCCUAAAGUUUGGUGUUAUUUUUCAAUCAAAUCCAUAAUUUUAAUUCUAAACUUGUUAAUGUUCAUUUAAUAAUAUAAAUUGCUACUUGAUCAUUCUAAUUUCUUUGUAUUUUCUUAUUAUAUAUAUUUGAAACAUUAAAUGUAUAUGAAUAUACAUUUAUUAAUAUUAAAAUGCUCUUAAGUAUUUUACAUAUAAUAUUUUAAUUUUUAAAUAAUUUUUAUUUAUAACGUCAUCCAAUUCAACUACGAUCGACUCCAUUAACCCUUGACUCCUGACCCUUAAGUUUGACCGAGUCGAUGCCCGAUUCGAGUCUGAAAACAUAGCACUGAAUAAGUGCUUUCAGUGCCAUGGUUAUAAAUCCCGGCCCGGCUCAGCCACAGAUGGGGUUGGACUGCUAAUUAAAUCAAUUGUGUGACAACCCCACCUUCCCCUAAGGCGAACCAAAGGGGUUAGCGGACUGCCUGCCCAACUCUCGCCAGGAUUAACGGUUCAGUUUAAAGCGGUCUAACGUUCCGGAGCUUACAACCGCGCGUAAACAAGUCAAAAUGUCAAAUAAAAAAAAAAUGAAAUCGGAAACGGCCAUGAAUAGUAACCGACACGUCUGAACCCAACCAAACGUUGAGCAAAUAUUCACAUCUCGAAAUUAAUCAUAUACAACCCAAAGGGGCAUACAAAAGUUAGUCAAAAGUGAAUACAUGUACGGUUUGCCAAAUCAAAAGAGAAACGGACUCAAAAAUACAUUUAGGGUUUCAAUCCAUGAGCUAUACAAAAGAUAUGUCCAUCUAACUCAAUUCGGCAACCAACUAUCAAAUCCAAUCCAAAAAGGAUUUAUUUUCCUGUAAGGAAAACAAAAGGAACAGAAAGGGGUGAGUUUGCGCUCAAUGAGGUACCAGACAAAUAACAGUAAAAUCAUGGCAUUUUACAUUUAACAAAUCAGGUACACAUGCCAGAUGUAAGUAAAAGAACCAAUGAUUCAAAUAGGAAGGAUACAGAUGGCUCUCAUGAGCCAAAUUCCUAUUCGCGUCACCGAAGCUUGAUCAAAAUAAUAGUUGACACUCCGUUAACGCUAAAGGAGUAACCAAUACCGUAGACCCCACUUUCUCCAAUUCCUUCCACCUCACAUACCCCUACCGGCCCCGCAAACCAAUCAGAUCAGAAAUGGUAAUACUCAAGUAUACCCGGAAUCAAAGGUUUCACUACCCAAAGAUCUCAAAACAGACUACCGUGGUUCGUUAUCUAAUCGACUAGACCCUUGCCGGUCCGACUCGAGUAACUUGCCACAGGGGUUGAGCUCAGAGGUCACAGAAAGGUCGUUGGAUACAAGUUUCCAAACGACGUCCGAACAAAUACAGAUACAGAUACAGAUAUCAGAUACAGAUUCAGAUAUCAGAUACAGAUUCAGAUUCAGAUUCGCCCCAAAAUUGGCAUAUAAACAGACAAGAGAACGAGUGUGAUAAAGUACACUCUCGUCUCAAACAAAUUAAACAGAUGGUGCAGUCAUUUAAAUCACAGAUUGCAGGGCAGAAAUCAAGUUAAACAGCAAUGGAGGGGAGUGGUACACUCACCGGUGUCAGUACAGAUACCUCAAAAGUUUGGGCUUUAGUCACCAAGAAACCCUAAAAUAACCAAGGUAAAACAAUUAUGGUUCCCACUUUCACAAAUCCAGUACACGAAAUGCAUAACUAAGACUUAAUUAUAAGUCGUGUGUCGAUCACUUUAACUACCAGUGCAAAGAAAUAACAAUGAAAUUGGAGAAAAAGGUAGCGGUUGGUAUCAAAAACAUGAACAACCCUCAAACCCUUCGCUCAAAUCACAAGUAAAUCCAACUAGCCUUCAAGUAAAAAUUUUGGCAGCAAGUCCCUUGUGUUUACCUAUUUUCCAACCAUUAAUGGUUUCAUUAUUUCCUCAAAUCAGUUUCAAUAUCUCAUACAAAAAAUAAUCUCAUUUCCAAAAGCCGUUCACUAAGUUUAAAGUCAUUCAAGUACAAAAUUUAGCUAGGAAAAUAACUGGAAACGAAAGUCAAGCCCUAAAACUAUUCAAAUAACCACAAUAAGACUCGCUUACAAGUCAUAAACCAAUUCCAGAUACCACCAAAAUAGGGCUCCAUAAGCAUACAUAAGCAUUAGAGGAAACCAGAAAAAUCCGGAAAUGUAGUUAAGCGUUAACCCGAAAAAAAUAGUUUUUGACGUCAUUAUGCGGUUUUGGUACCAAUGGCACUACGAUUAUCGGAUGAAGGUGCGAGACCCACCGUUUCGAAACUAAGAGAUAGGGUUACAAUAUUGCAGAAGGUCACUCAGCUCAAUUUUGAGUGUAACCAGGUCAAAAAUACAAGAUACUACACCAGAACUGGAAAAACAGAUUCAUAAAACGCAUUCUGGUUCAAACAUCAUAAGUCAGCCUACCUAAGUCCAAAUCCAGUAAUUCCAAAGCCAUCCGAAAGCUAAGAAAUAGGGCUACAAUACAUCAGAAGACCGUAACAACCAAUUCCAAAGCAUUCUCAACCAAAAUAACCCAUUACAGAAGCAAUUCCCAAAUUCGGGUAAAACCAGGACAACAAGGGUAAUUUCGACUUUUCUCAAGCCACGCUACUCCGAUUGACCUAAAAUUUUGUAGGGACCCCUAAAAUGUCAUUUCCUACAACUUUCAUGUUUUAACCCAAAACCAAUUCGGCCUCUAACCAUGAGCUACAAAAUCGGGCAGAAUGUAUAACUUUGAAACCCUGUUUUUUCAAUUUUCUUCCAAAACAGAAAUUGCUUGCAAUUAACCACUUUUCCCACCUCCUAGUUUCAUUGCAUACCAAUUCCAAUCAUCAUACAUGCCCACAUAAUCAUAUUCAUAUGAAAACAGAAAAAUCCCCAAUAAUUACAAAAUUUCACCAAUUCAACCAAAAAUCAAGAUAUAAUCCAUAAAAGUGCAUCUUAUACUACCACCAAUCAUGAAUUAAGCAUUAUUAGAGGGAGGAAAGGGGUCCUUAACUACUCACAUUGGCAACACAAGAGAGAGAGCAACUAAUCCCUUUAGCCUUCCAAACAACUCCACAAAACACCUCACUAUCACUCCCUUAAGUGUUUCUAUGAAGCAAAAGCAAGAUUAAAUGGUUGAGUUCUUGGAUUUGAGCAAGAGUAGAGCUAAGAAUUUGGAGAGGUUUUCUUUCUUUCUUCCUUGGAGAGAGCCGACUUCAAGAGCUUGAAAUAAGGGUGAAUUUUGGUAAUUUUUGUUUUAUUGGUUUAGUUGGUCAAAUGGUAAAAGAAUGAAUAGUGGUCUUACAGCAAGAUUGAAUCAUAUGGUGACACUUGUCACCCUAAUUAAUGCAUCUCUAUCUCUUUGUUUCCUCUCUCACCAAUCCACUUGGGUAACCUCUAAUUAUCUCUUAGUACCUGAUAAUUUAAUUCCAGUAUCCAAAACUUAACCUAGUUGGCCGAAUUUUUCCGAACUUUUCGUCCUAGUGAGUCCCACAUCCGGUAUACACUCUUAAUUUCUCAAAAACUAUUCGAUACUAGAAAAAUCACUUAAAAACUCUAUUUACUCAUAAAAAUUAUCUAGAAAUUUUUCCUAAGCAAGAAAAUGCAGAAAACAUGCCAUUAAAGAUAAUAAAACCUAAAAAUUUGAAAAGUUACGGGUUCUCACAAGUUGAGUAACAAAUUCGUUGACCAAUCAAUGAUCCAAUAGUUCAAUUAAGAACUAAAAAAAAUCGCCGGUUAAACCACUAACUUAAACAUUUUACUAUUUUUAUAAUUUAAAAUAUAUUAUUAUAUUAUAUAAUAUAAUUAUUGUGCAACUGACGAUUGAACCAAUGAUUUGAUCACUCUUCAAAUUGAGAUUGGGAUUGGGUUUAAUGACUAUGUUCAGAUCUAUAUAUUUAUAUGGGAGACAUAUGAGUUUUCUCAUUCCGAUUCCUUUCAGCUUUCAAGAGUAGCGUUCUAGCUAAGCCAAAAGUAUGUGAACUAGCACUAGACAUUACUUUUCCGAAAGGUUUGGUAUGCUGAACUUGAACAUGCACCCUGACGAAUUACAACUAUAACAACAGUUAGCUCAUGAAAGUAUCAGCAAAGCAGAUUGAACCCAAUGGCGGUCAAGAUGAUCAAUCGUCAGUUGGUGCAAGAGCAAACAAACGGUAAAGGCGUGCCCCCUUAUUCUUAUGUGUGUUGAAAGUUGGAAUCAUUGCCCACUUGUGGCCAAAUUACUUCAUGUGUCAAAUAUUUGCAAUUAAGGAAUCAUAGACAACAGAAAGUUGGAAUACAUAUUAUUGUUGACUAUAGAAAUUCCAUACCUAUUGCUGGACCACUCAAUGGGUAUCUUGAUCCGAUUAUGCAAGACUUUUCUUGGAAUUAUAACAAGCACUGAAAAUUACAACUAAUACUCCUUAGUCAAGGAGCAUGCAUGCAGCAUACCUUUUCUGAAUUUUCUAUGCUCCCCACUUAAUGGUUACUGUAUUACUGAAAAGAUAAUGACGUACAACAAAUAUAAAUAUUAAUGAAGAACAUAGAGACGUAAUUAAACUGCACUAAAAAAAACUGCACUAAUGAAUCGUGGACAAAUAAAUUCUGAGCCACUCAAGCACGAGAAAUCAAAUUGUAGGGUUUGGAUUACCUGUCAUUUGUGAAUAAUGUGUGUUCCACGAUUCUGUGCUAGUACAAUUAUUUUUAACUAACAUCAAUGUUGAGUAUUGACAGCUUUGUUUUAAGCAAGUCCUCAUGGAUAACCUCUAUGCCACUAGACAGUGGACUUGGUUGCUAUAAAUAGCGCAACAAGCUCAAUUAUAAGUUACCAACUAGCAAAUGAAACAUAUAUGCUAGUAGCAAAUUUCUGAUAGCUGAUUGAGUAGAUGGCUGCAGAUGCUGGAAAUGUAUACGUUAACAUGGAAGAAGAAAGCCAAGCUGCUGGAAAUAGAAUGCAACCUAUGUCUACUACUCCCGUGUAAGUAUCUCUUAACUUCCACUACUACUACCACUUGCACUUAAUUAAUUUGUCUGGUCUCCAUGUUUAGUCUUUAUCAGCUUUAUUCAAAAACUUCCUGGCUGGCUUCUUGCACGAAUUUGCGUCAUAUUUUUUUGCAGACCAGCACAGUGGACUGCUGAUGAAAAGAAGCAAACAGCUUUCAGUCUGAGUGAAAGGCUAGGCUUGGACGAGUUUCUCUCCUUAAAUGUUAGUGAUGCUCUUUCAACGGACUGACCCGUUUUUCAGUUCAAGACUACAAGCUCUGUUCUGGUUCUUCACGAGAAUAAGGAUUGGAAUUGUAUGCUACGGAGGAAACAUAACUCAAAUGCUAUGGCAUACAAUUCCAGUUCUCUCAUAAAGAACCAAACACAAGACAAUAUUUCUUUUGCUGGUGUGAUCGAUCAAAUUUCACGUUGGGUUGAUAUAUAACUUGGUGCAGGUCUGGAGAGCAGCUCUAGGGGAACUUCUUGGCACAGCAGUUUUGGUCUUCAUGUUUGACACCAUUGUCAUAUCAACCCUCGAGACCGAUGUGAAAAUGCCAAACCUGAUUUUGUCAAUUCUCCUGGCCAUUAUCAUCGCAAUUCUUCUACUAGCCGUGGAUCCAGUAUCUGGAGGCCACAUAAACCCCAUCGUCUCAUUCUCUGCGGGAUUGAUCGGUCUAAUCUCAAUGUCGCGUGCCAUAAUCUAUAUCAUCGCUCAAUGUGCG
rnacentral:lncRNA from 1 species